rnacentral:lncRNA from 1 species
GCAAUUUUAUUGAUGCGAAAAAUAUUUUUGUUAUUAAGAAAAAUUUAAUUUCUCAACUAAAUUGUUUGGUUUUGUUGCCUAAAAUUUCUUUCUUUUUGGCUCCAAAAGCAGACGCGGUAAUUUCUCCCUCCUAUUUCCCAAAAUUUCCCAAAUACACCUUAACCCAGCUACUUGGGACUCCAAGGAUUCUCAAAUACCCUAGUUUGCUACAGCUGUCUUUCUCUCCUAAUACACCUUAACCCAGCUACUUGGGACUCCUCUCCACGCCUUCGAUGCCUUAACGGCGGGGAUGUACCGGAAGUUUCGCGCGCCGACCACGGAAUGGACCAGAUUUUUCCAGAGCGUCAAACCCUAACUGUCUGUCUUAAUUUUACCAAAAACUGUAGUCAUCUGAUAGUGCAAUCCCUUUUUCUAUUCUUCUGAUUUGUAUUUUUCCGGCUAGAUUUUGCGGCAUUUAACAGAUUUGAGAGUACAACUAUACAAUCGGAGGUAUCUAUCUCCGUAAUCUGGAAUUGUUCGUUAUAAUUUUUUGUUUAUUAUUUUUGACUGAGAAUACCCAGGCUCAUCUAAUUUUUUUUACUUCUUUCAGACAUUUCAUUUUCGAAUUUUUGAGAUUCUUCAAGGUAUGUGUCUUAUUUUCUUUCGAAAUUUUUUUCAUUUUAUUUUUCUGGAAAUGAGAUUUUUAUUUUUGAUGUUACUAUUUAAAUCUGAAAAUAGGUAUAAUCUAGUUAUUUGUUCAUUUUGAGAAAGGUUGAAUUUAACAGCCUUUUACUUCUCCAGCUACUUAUAAAAAUUAGCUUGACUGUAUGUUGAAGGUGUUUGAAUGUGUGUUGAAGGCGAGAUAUUUUCCUUUUCUCUAGAAUUUAAAGGUGCUAUUUUUCAUUUGACUUACUCUCCCCAGAGGCGGAUGUAGUGUACUGGGUUCAACUGAACCCAUAAUUUUCGACGUGGAUUAAAAUUUGUAUGUAAAAAUUCAUUAAAAUUGCAAAAAUAGUAUAUAUGAACCCAUAACUUAAAAAAUAUAAUGGGUUCAAUCUUAAAAACCUUAAAAAUUUAACCCAUAGAAUUUAAAUCCCGGAUCCGCUUCUGACUCUCCCCGUCCAUUCAUGUGGUCGUGUUCAAGAAUAGCAAUAUUAUUUCAUCUAGCUUGGGUAGCCUAAUUUUGUAUCUCGUAUCUGUUGCUUCCAGUAGCCUUCUCAAUUAGUAAGAGUUUAAAGUAUUGGCUAUUAGAAACUCAACCUCUGUUCAUAGUAAUGGUUCCUCUAGAUGUGAGUGUAUAAAGUAAAUGUAAAAGCAUUAUACUGUUGCAUCAGUUUUCAAAUACAUGAUCCACUAAAAUGAUUGCACAACUUUUACCUAUUUCUUAGAUUAAUGGUAAGUGCAAGUCCAAUAAUCAAACUGUAACUUCUGUUGCAAAUUUAUGUAUAUUUGCUUUUACAUUACGUAAUGAUAUCUUUCAGUGGUGAAGCCAUAGCUAAGGCUAGGAUUUCACUUGAGGUAUGUGUUUAAUGCGUUGGACUUACUUAUUUUACAUUCUGUUUUGAGUAUCAAGAAGUUCGUAUGCAUUGUUUCAGAUUUGUGAGGUAGAAUCAUGAAAAAAUUUGAAGCCCAUAACUUCGUCACUGAUUUUUGCUUUUCUGCUACAAAUUGCUAACAAAUAAAAUCAUAUUCUCUUUAUUGGUUAGUAAUAAACGAGGGGAUGCCUAGAUGGGAUGGGUUUAAUGUAAGCAAAUCCGUCGGUAAAUUGAAGGUGGACAUGAUGAAGAUAAAGAAACUCACUCAUAUGAAAUAGACCCUGCUCAGGUAGUAAUUUAAUGCUUUGCAACAACUAGAUUGCUUGAUCUCUUUUUACACUCUUUUGGGUUGAGAUAACAGUCUGGUGUCUGAUAUUGCGUUAAAAUAAGUUGCAGGACUUCCAUUAUCAAUUUUGGUUCUUAAUUGGUCUAUUACUGUCUGCUACAUAGAAAAGACAAUACGAAGAAUACAUAGGUUAAUGAAGUUGAAAAUGUAUGAAACUGGUAGAGUAUAUUUGGUCUCCUCAAUUAUAGGUUGCGCUCGGGUAUUUCAAACCAUGUCUCUGUUCUGUUGAUUUUUCGGCUUUGGUCCUCAAGCAAUUUCUUUCCAUGUUUACUGUUGGCCCAUUACUGACGUCUACAUAAAAGACUGAAGACGUAGAAUACAUAGGUUAAUGAUGUAGAAUACAUACAUCUUACUAAUUAAUAUAUAUUUUUUGAUUAACGUUUCAUUUUUUUUCUGAAUCGUGAUAUCAAAAAGUAUGACUAAAAUUAUGACUCUUGUUUCACAGGUACAUGAAUGUGGAAAUUCUUCAGGGAUAAAUUUAUUAGACAAAGUGACUACACUACAAUUAUUCUUGUAGUCCGAUUAGACUUUCAUUUCGGAUAGAUUUUAUUUAAUUUAUGUAUUUUAAUUUAUGGAGUUUGUAAUGAGAAUAUCUCAAAUAUAGUAUUGUUAUGAUAAAUAUCAUAUUAUGGUGGAUGUCUACUCUUCCUCCAUGAUCUUCAUGUCAAAUGCUUAAUGACAUAUUCAAUGACAUAUUUUCUAUAUUCAAUGAUAUAUUCCAUGACAUAUUUUCUUCACUUUUCAUGCCUAUAUAAAGGCCUUGUAAUAGAUA